AGUGCUCCUGCUGACCUUCCGUGUCUGCAGCCCGGCUUUGGACUGUGGAGAUGCCCUCAGCCUCUACUCAGUGGCUCCAGCCUCAUAUUUGCGUGCUAUACCUUUAACCUCAAGUCCUCUUGCUGCUAACUUAAGCUGCGACUGUCCAGGACCUGCACACACACACACAUGCACGCAUGCACACACACACACACAGAAGGUGAACACACAGGAUGAGGCCCUGAAAACUCAUUUCACCCGUGUACCUCACCCAAAAAUUCCCCUUUGUACUCCUAUCUUUAUCUCUAACUGACAGCAUGAAGCCCUGACUGCCGAAACCCUCCAGCCCCAGCUCCAGCCCCUCAGGAGGGGACUGCGUGGGAGGAAUGACUCCAGCAAGCCGGCAGCUGACCCGUCUCCUGCCUGCACGCCUCCCGCUGUGGUCCACUGCCGGUGGUCUUCAGCUCUCUCCUCGUCCCACCCCCAUGGUCUGCUGACAGCCCAGCUCAGUGCAUCCCUGCCAUCUCUGCUCUACCGCUGGUCCUCCCAACAACCAACUUACAGUUACAGCGCAUCUUGAUCUUGUUCCUCCGUGACUGUCCCUGGCUCAGCUUCCACCCCCAGCUGGGGCUCAGCUAUCCCUGUGUCCCCAGUCCAGAGCCUGCCUCUCAGCUCUCCCAGGGCGGCCUCGAGCGCUGCUCCUGCUCCUCCAGGGGAGAGGUUUGGGGGCACACGUGAAGGUUUGACAUAUAGUAAACACAUGUCAUGGUGGUUUGUUGUACAGAUUAUUACAUCACCCAGGGUUUCACUCCCGUCACCCAGACUGGAGUACAAUGGUGCGAUCUCAGCUCACUGCAACCUCUGCCUCCUGGGCUUAAGCGAUUCUCCUGCCUUGGCCUCCCAAGUAGCUGGGAUUACAGGUGCCUGCCACCACUCCUGGCUAAUUUUUGUAUUUUUUGUAAAGGCGGAGUUUCUCCAUGUUGCCCAGGCUAGUCUCAAACUCCUGAGCUCAAGCAAUCCACCCGCCUCGGCCUCCCAAAUAAGUGGAAUUAUAGGUGUGAGCCACCACGCCGGCCCUGAUGUAUCAAUAUUAAAACAUUUUCUUCAGCCUA
rnacentral:lncRNA from 1 species